rnacentral:tRNA from 1 species
AGCUAGCUCAGUCGGUAGAGCAUGAGACUUUUAAUCACAGCGUCGUGGCUUCGAGCCCCACGUU